UUUCAUCAGCCUCACUUCUAUGAACUCUCAGAGCUGAUUACCAACUCCUACCACUGUUAACCCUCAUCCAGGAAAAAGCUUAUGUCUUUAACAUUCUGAGUGGGCUUCAGCAUCCUUGCAUAUGUUCAAUUCUUAAAAACCUGUUGAAAUAAAAGAUCAGGAGACAUAGGAAGGAUGCCAGAAGAGAGCGUGGCCUCAUGUGUACCAGCUCUCUGCUCUCCUUUGCCUUGGGACGUUCCAUCCCUGGAAGUUUCCCUGCCCACAUCUUUGUAGAGAGUCCAUUCUCCAAGCUUCAGUGUGUCAUCUGUGAGGACUGUGACCAACCUGGUACAUCGCCUCAGGGCAUUCAUUUCAGGCUCCUUCUAAAUGGUCAAGUUUUCAAGAUUGUUUUGGCUCUAGCAAAACAAGUUGGAACAUUCACAUCAUCCAGUAAACCUCAGGUUCUCCUCCUGCCUUUUGCUAAGUAUAUGUCUUGAUGACAAGCCUUCUGCUGAUGAGCUGUGUUUCUGGACCGAUCAUGGUAGAAGUCAAUUAACGUGUCCCUCACUUGGGGUUUCUCAAGGUCAUCUAUGAACUGACUCUGUCUCAAAAAAAAAAAAGAAAAAAAAGAAAAGAAAGAACGAAAAAAAAAAACUAGGACAUGGCUAACAGGAAUGGGGACAAAGAAUCUGCACUGAUGAGGAAACUGAAACAGAAAAUCCAGAGUAAAUUCCACCAGGCCACACAGCAAGGUCUGAUAGAGCCAGGAGAGACUUUAUGAAAUCCAGACUCUCACACUAAUGCUCUAUCAGCUAGACCUCCAUGUGAGUCUCCCCAAUGUAGGUAGGAAGUGCUUUCCC
rnacentral:lncRNA from 1 species